rnacentral:rRNA from 1 species
CACGUAGGGUGCAAGCGUUGUCCGGAAUUAUUGGGCGUAAAGGGCUCGUAGGCGGUCCGUCACGUCGGGAGUGAAAACUCGGGGCUCAACCCCGAGCCUGCUUUCGAUACGGGCGGACUAGAGGUAGGUAGGGGAGAACGGAAUUCCUGGUGUAGCGGUGGAAUGCGCAGAUAUCGGGAGGAACACCGGUGGCGAAGGCGGUUCUCUGGGCCUUACCUGACGCUGAGGAGCGAAAGCGUGGGGAGCGAACAGG